rnacentral:misc_RNA from 1 species
UCCCGGUUAACCCGGGCAGUCUCGCUAGAGUGCCCGCCAUUACGCGCUGGCAACUAACGACAAGGGUUGCGCUCGUUGCGGGACUUAACCCAACACCUCACGGCACGAGCUGACGACAGCCAUGCAGCACCUGUGCAGGCGUCCAUUGCUGGACGUAUACAUCUCUGCAUACUUCACCUGCAUGUCAAACCCAGGUAAGGUUCUUCGCGUUGCAUCGAAUUAAACCACAUGAUCCACUGCUUGUGCGGGUCCCCGUCAAUUCUUUUGAGUUUCACCCUUGCGAGUGUACUUCUCAGGCGGUAUACUUAUCGCGUUAGCUUCGACACAGUCGGGGUUGAGUCCGACUACGCCAAGUAUACAUCGUUUAAGGCAAGGACUAC